rnacentral:misc_RNA from 1 species
AAGACUAUAGACCUGCGGAGUACCUGCGGAGGGAUCAUUAGUGAACGCCCUCACGGGCUUAUAACUAUUCCAAACCUCUGUGAACCGUGCCCUUCGGGGCUAUUUUACAAACAUGGUGUAAUGAACGUCAUAUAUCAUAACAAAACAAAACUUUUAACAAUGGAUCUCUAGAUC